rnacentral:rRNA from 1 species
AUUGAACGCUGGCGGCAUGCUUUACACAUGCAAGUCGAACGGUAACAGGCCUUCGGGUGCUGACGAGUGGCGCACGGGUGAGUAAUGCAUCGGAACGUGCCCAGAGGUGGGGGAUAACGCAGCGAAAGCUGUGCUAAUACCGCAUGUGAUCUGAGGAUGAAAGCGGGGGACCAGGCAGCAAUGUUUGGCCUCGCGCCUUUGGAGCGGCCGAUGUCAGAUUAGGUAGUUGGUGGGGUAAAGGCCUACCAAGCCGACGAUCUGUAGCUGGUCUGAGAGGACGAACAGCCACACUGGGACUGAGACACGGCCCAGACUCCUACGGGAGGCAGCAGUGGGGAAUUUUGGACAAUGGGCGCAAGCCUGAUCCAGCAAUGCCGCGUGCGGGAAGAAGGCCUUCGGGUUGUAAACCGCUUUUGUUCGGAACGAAAAGGCUCUGGCUAAUACCUGGGGCUGAUGACGGUACCGGAAGAAUAAGCACCGGCUAACUACGUG